GGUGGUUCUUGGGUGAUGCACCCCAGAACUAGAGAGGAGGAAGGCUGAUUCUGGGGUGCAUCACCUGAGAACUGCC
rfam:Myotis lucifugus cont2.11946, whole genome shotgun sequence.